rnacentral:lncRNA from 1 species
CACCCAGUCCCCGAGCCUGAGGACAUGAGCAGUGGUCUAAAGUCUCACCUAGUCCCAUUUUACAGACUAAUUUGAUUGCCCGGCCCUAGAAUUCUAUAGAAACAACAACAAUGAAAAGUUGAAAUUCCUUAGAAUAUGCAGAGGGAGGGGAUGACUCACACGGUGCUAAACACAUUUUAUUAAAAAUAUAUAUUGUUAAAUUAAGUCUGCUGUCUGGACAAUGAUGUUCUGUUUUGUUUUCUUGUAGUGGAGUUUAAAAGAGACUAUUAUUUUACUCUGAUAUAUUAUUAUUAAAAGGCAUUUUAACUUUGUACUUGAAAACUAAGUGAACGAUUUCACGUGUUUUAGCUGAGGCAUCGAAGUAUCGGGUGCUUACUUGUGGGAAAUCAUGUAUUCAUACUACAAAAUAAACUCCGUGGCUGGUUUGGUAAUAACUUUUACUGUUACAGACGAUUUCGCUUUGACCCCGGUGGCAGAGCACUUUUACUCCACAUUCCACGCAGCUAAGUGCAGGACCUUCCAGAACCUUCCCCUAGUCCCCCUCGGUCCUCUUUCCGUUCCUCUUCCUAUCUCUCUCUUUUCCUAUUUUUUCUUUUUAAAUUGUCGUUUGUUUUCCCUGGUCCCAGCUUCCUUCUACCACUGUAUUUUUUUGUUAGGGUUGCUUCUCUAUUUAUUGACAAUAAUACUGUACAUUUCACAGUCUGGUUCUGGGGCAGCCAGGAGGGGUGUGGGGGGCUGCGCACAGCUUGCCGCACCAUCCGGUGUCCCGUUGUAUCUCUGUGUACGUGAUGCUUGUGACAUAGCUGUUGAAGAAAUAAUUAAAAAGGUCAAUGUGUA